CCCACCUUUGACAUGUACGGAAUCCUUUAGAGAUAGAGGAGUGCUCGAAAGAGAACCGUAACACAGGUGCUGCAUGGCUGUCGUCAGCUCGUGUCGUGAGAUGUUGGGUUAAGUCCCGCAACGAGCGCAACCCUUGUCAUUAGUUGCUACAUUUAGUUGGGCACUCUAAUGAGACUGCCGGUGACAAACCGGAGGAAGGUGGGGAUGACGUCAAGUCCUCAUGGCCCUUAUAGGUGGGGCUACACACGUCAUACAAUGGCUGGUACAGAGGGUUGCCAACCCGCGAGGGGGAGCCAAUCCCAUAAAGCCAGUCGUAGUCCGGAUCGCAGUCUGCAACUCGACUGCGUGAAGUCGGAAUCGCUAGUAAUCGCGGAUCAGAAUGUCGCGGUGAAUACGUUCCCGGGUCUUGUACACACCGCCCGUCACACCAUGGGAGCGGGUUCUGCCAGAAGUAGUUAGCCUAACCGCAAGGAGGGCGAUUACCACGGCAGGGUUCGUGACUGGGGUGA
rnacentral:rRNA from 1 species